CUGAGGUCCUGGAACAAGCAAAUACAUUAGUGAUAAAAUGCAUACAAAGGUCAGGGCUUAACAAAGCUAACUGAGUGAUCCAAUUAUGUUUGAUUCAGAGUCCAACCACACUCAUCACUAUGAAGUUCAACCAGUCUACGACUCGUGCUGGAUGCAGCUGUACAUUCUGUGUCCAGUUUUUGCAGCUGUCUCCUCUCUCCUCUCUUCUUUUGUGGUUUAUAAAUGCUGUCAUAAAAAAGCUACAGAACCUCAAGUCACUCAGCAAAGACCUGACAACAGAACACUGAAUCAGGUAAUUUACAGCAGAGUAUUUUUAACAAUUAAUGAUAAUGCAUCAUAAUAUUAUAAUAAUGAAGUACAAUCACUGAUAACCUUUAGGAUGAAGAUGUGUGCUAUGCUGCUCUGGAAAUCCGCCAAGCAUCACAGAGAGCAAAGAAGACAACUCAGAGUUACGACAGCAGCACCUAUUCUGCCAUUAAAACUUCUAGGGUAUAGGGAUAUAAAUAUAUAAUAUAUAUAUUUUUAUAUAUAUUUGCUUUUUUUUUGUUGUUUUUUUUAUGCAGUGCUUUUGCUUUGUUUUGCUUUGCUUUGCAUUGUGAUGGUAAAAAGCAGUAAUCUUCAAAAAGUGAAAAGUUCUGGAUGUGAUAAAUCAAUUCUAUAUACAAUAAUGAGAGUUCUCUUAAUCUACCUAUGCACCUUAAACAUGAAAGUAAAUAAACAUAAGAAACCUAGUUGUUUCUGAGCACUGUGCUUCAGACUUUUUUUUUUUUGUUUUGAUUGAAAUCGAUCUGUAACAUUUCAGAAUGGUUGUGGAGGCUGUGUAUCGAUAAUAAGACAAGGUAGCUGUUUUCAAGUAAUUUCCUGUUUUUAUCUCAAGUUAGCCAUCAGCUCCAAACCUUUAGCAAUAGAGUUACCAAAAGAAUUCCAAGUAUUUGAUGGAUGGAUGCUGUAGUGUAGAGAAUAUCAAGGACAUUUUACACAAAAAGCAAAAAACAGUUACAAUUUAAUCACCCUACUUAGCUUGCUUAUUUAAAAAUGGCCCUCCUGCACUUUUUCACAGUUACACAACAAUCAUGUACAAGUGUGAACAGUUCACAGGAAAACCACCAUAUGACAAACAAACCCUCACACAGCAGCAGGGCUUAACACCUAAACUGAACAUGCAUCGUGCAGAGUUUAUAGGAAGAGAAACUAUUUUAGAUAGGUGACAAUAACUGAGAGCCACAAAUGCGCACACUCUCCUGGUCUCAGAAGUGGUUAAAAUCCGGUAACUAGAAAGUGUUGACCUAGGCUUCACUGACUUCACUGGUUUGGCUAAUUGAAGUUGAAGCUAUAAUAUUAUUAAAGCUAAUAAUAGAAUUCAGCUUUUCU
rnacentral:lncRNA from 1 species